rnacentral:lncRNA from 1 species
CAACUUCCUCUUCUUUCUCCUCCCAUCUCACGUUUCUCUCCUCUUCCAUGAAAGCUUCUCUCAAGCUUCCACCACUCUCUCAAACUAACCUUAAUUUUCGUGCCUUACACACCCAGUUGUAGGGUUUUUCAUACUCUUUUACUCCCUCACCUUAAACAAACCCUUAAAAGUCUUUCUUCAAUACUUUUUCUCACCAGCUGAACUUUGUAGAGAGAGAAAGAGAGGUUUCAUGAUAGCUUGAGGACUCUUGGGAAGAAAUUUCAUUACAAUCCACCAAGGUGAGUGAUGAAUUAGGAUUGGUUUUAAGUUGUUGAUAAAGGCUAAUAAUUAGAGUUAUGAAUUGUGUAUUGCUGAAGUUGUUUAUCUAUUUCUAGCGUUACUAAAAUAGAGAACUGAAUAGCCAAUCAAAUGGUCAUGGAAGAUAGAUAGGAAAGGCUACUGAAGCUUGAUUUGGGAAAACAGCUUUUGGAGUGAUAUUAAUGUAAAUUGGAUUGGUUGUGAUGUUUUGUGCAUGAUAGGUUUCAACAAGGCCCCUCAGCCCCAUUUAGACCAUUAGGAAAGUUAGAGUCGAUUAAAGGUUCAACAAAUACCGAUGAGUGAAUUUGCAUUUCAAAAUAUUUUGGGGAAAUGUUUACAUGUUUCAAAGAAUCAUUUAGGAAUCUUAUCGGUUUUUGAUAUAAGAUUGCCUGGGAACAAGCCCUUGAUAAAAUGUUUGAUGUUGUGAAAUGUGAAAUGUAUAAAAGGAUGAAUCCACAUGUUUUUGUAUGAUGUUGAUGUUGAUAUAUAUAUAUAUAUAUAUGUAUACUAUGUCAUAAAUGGUACCAUUGUGUGACAAAUGUAACCGUGCAUGAGCUGGGUGAGAUGUGGUGUCCGGCUAUGUGCACGAUGUGGUGGGAUGCACAUGAGCUGGGUGAGNGUCAUAAAUGGUACCAUUGUGUGACAAAUGUAACCGUGCAUGAGCUGGGUGAGAUGUGGUGUCCAGCUAUGUGCACAAUGUGGUGGGAUGCACAUGAGCUGGGUGAGAUAUGGUGUCCGGCUAUGUGCACGAUGUGGUGGGAUGCACAUAAGCUAGGUGAGAUAAAAUGUUUUCUGGAAAUUUCCUCUUUUUUCGAUUUCAUGCUAAAUAUGGUUCCUUCAUUAUGAAAUGAUUUAAUAACCAGGGGUUUGAUGGAGGGAUUUCAAUAAGAACGUUAACUAAGUUGCAAUGUUUUCAAAGAUGUGCAUCAUGAUUUCCAAACCUUCUUUAACGUUGCUUGUUCCCUUCCUAUGUUCACUCACUGAGUUUGUACUCACGUUUUUAAAAUUCAUGUUUUAGGUUUCCUGAGUUAAAGGUGAUUGGAUCCUAGAACGAGGUGCUCCUCCCUAUACAUUGCUCAGUAGGUUUAACUUGACACUAAGUGUUAUCAAUCGUGCCCAGAGUCACUCCGCUGACAGUCAAGGUCUAAUUAUGUGUAUAUGAAUAUUUAAUGUGAAACAUUAAGAAUCAUUUGUUAAUCUAUUUAUGAAUAUAUUGGUGGAUGAUGCCAUUAUGAAUGUAUGAUUGGGUUUUAUGAAUCGUUUUCAAAGAAACGGUAUUUGAACAUUUCGAGCUUUGGAUUCUAAAGGAAUAGGGAUUAAUGUAUAAGAUCAAUUAAGUAUGCUUG